ensembl:lncRNA
UCGUAACACAUCCAUGACUGUUUGAAGAGGAAGCUAUGGCCAGGAUGAGGGUGUGUGGAAACGUAAGACUCACUGCUGCAGAGAGAUGGGCGCUGAUAAAUCACGCCUGAUUGUUUUCAAGACCUCUCUCUCUCUCUGUCCUCCUUCCUCGUCCCCAGCUCUUCUCCCAUCAGCUCCUCGGUCGCAUCCACUUGUCGUCCGAGCUCCAGGCAGGGGGGGCUCCCUCCUGCUUCACUCUUGCUUCACCCAGCUCCAGGGACUCUCUCUGGGCUUUCUCCCGGGCCAGCCUCCUCCCUCUUCCCUCUUGCUCCUGGAGCUCGGCCACCACCUGGGCUAGCUUAGCUUGGCGCCGCUGGAACUUGUGGAGGAUGAGGUAGCUGACUCUGCAGCAAUGGCCUCACUGUCACGCUGUGCUCCAUCUGGGGAAGAAAGGGGAACGAUUAGUAUCCUGAUUACACCGCUGGACUCAUUUAUUCAGGGGCUUCAUGGGAAAAUGGGUUUUACACAAUCCAACUGUCUUCAUCAUUUUGAAAUGAAUCAAGACAUGUGAAAGGUACUCAAGGAAAGAUUUGAGAGUUGUCAAAAGAGAGCAGAAUUUUGAAACUAUACAAUCAAAAAACUUCCUCCGCCAUUGACCUGUGAUGCAUUCAAGCACCUAUGCUUGACAGGCAAGAUGGAUAGCCAAACCAAUCAGGACAUCAAUCAGGAAAGAAAUGAUUGGUCAGAAGUAAGAUAAGUAAGCUGUGAGAGGUCUCCCAUCUAGAUGGGCUCAUACAGAGGCAGGCUCAGUCAACUAGAAACACAUAUUCUCACUCAGCAUUUCCCUCACUAAUGCUGACAGAGGUAGGCAAUUUAAAGAACAUUACACUCAAAUAAUAGCACUUAGAUCUUACCUACAGCAUCUUUAAAUACAGCAAGGGUUUCACUCUGGCAGAAACGCUGCAAUGUGUAUUCAGUGUGUGCUCCGUGCCACAACAUGUGCAUGUGUGUCUACGUGUUACUUGAGAAUAAAACUAGUUUUGGCAGUGUGCAAAAUCUGCCUUUGUGGUAAUUCAAUGUAUCUGAUGUGACAGAUGGCACACACCAGCGCACAACAACAUUGUUUUAUGUCACAGAGUAUAGAAAUAGCUGCGCACUAUUGAUUUUUCUGUGUGAAUAAUGUUCAAGACAGAAUGUCAAAGCACUGCUCUGCCAAGUAUUGGGU